AAACAACUCUCGGCAACGGAUAUCUCGGCUCUCGCAUCGAUGAAGAACGUAGCGAACUGCGAUACUUGGUGUGAAUUGCAGAAUCCCGUGAACCAUCGAGUCUUUGAACGCAAGUUGCGCCYAAAGCCAUUAGGCCGAGGGCACGUCUGCCUGGGCGUCACGC
rnacentral:rRNA from 1 species